CUUCGAUUGGUUGCCUCCUGUACGUGCUCUGACUGGGGAAUGAACCCACAACCUAGAGCAUCUCAUUGACUUUAGCCAACAGAUCAAAUAAGUUGUUGCAUCCUUAAGGUAUUUUUAUUUGUGAAAUUUUUAAAGGUCAAAGCAAUCAAGGAGGAUGGAUCAAAAAGGAAUUUUGGAAGUGUUUUGGCUAUUGUGAGAAUUUUAAGUGAAGCCUGGAACUAGGAAUUUGGAGGAAACUGCCUCAUCAGUAAUUUGAAGGAAUUUGUAUGACUGUAAGGAGCAUCACUGAAACUGAUUGACAUUGCUGAGUGAGUGGAUCCAGAAGUUUCUCCUGCAAACCUGGUUGUAUUGUUAGGAAUUUCUCAGAAGCUCAGUAAAGUAGAUUUUUAUAAAAGUGGAAAAGUAAGAUAUUGAAACUUUCUCUCCCAACAUUUAGCUUUUAAAAACUUUGAGAGGCAUUCAUCUGAACGUCAUUGAACUUUUAUUUCCUUUGUGGCAGAUGGCACUAAUUUUCAGUGCAGUUUGAAGGUCUCUUGGAGUAAGGAAAAAUAUCUGUGCGUAUACUGUGGGAAGAUUUACCAGGAAAAGAUGGCAUGUUCUGUCCAAACCUCAUUAAACUAAGAGUCUAAGAAACCUCAGCCAAUCCAGCCUUUGAAGAAAAAUACCUCAAAGGAAUAUUUCUAUCAUAUUUCAUAUUGCUUAGUUUUAUAUGGUUAAUAAAUAUUUUGAAAUGUA